GUUUUCGUCCGGGACAAAGGUCCCUCGCGGCGCCGGUGACGGCCGGCUGCGGUGUCCGCGUCCCGCGGGCCACUCCGCGGUGCGGCGGGGCGGCUGAUGGAGGGACGCGGAGCCCCGGCGGGCAGGAGCGCGGGCGCGGCUCGUCCCGGAGAGGCGCACGCGGCGAAGAGUUGCGGGAGCUCGGCGGUGUGCGGACGGGGAUGCGUGGAAGUCGCUGAGACGGCCCGCACGGUGGCCCGACAGGCUGCUCCCGCAAGGGCAGGGCUGCGGAGCCGCGCGCCCCGGUCGCGGCCGGCUGCGGGGCGAAGGCGGAGGGCGGUAUUAACACAGCUGUGGUGCCCCAGCCGGUGGCCAGGUCCUGGCACUCUGUGGAUGCUGUGAGCCGAACAGCCACAUUCCAGAAGGCGGCCAUGGCCUGAAGCAUCCCCAGAACUACGGGACCUGAUGUGGACUUGAAACCUCAGCCCUGGCACUUCACGGCUCAGGUGCAGGUUGUAGGAAGAGCCUCUGGUUCUGGCUGGCAAGGUCCCGGACCCCAGCCAGGUGGCGAGUGGCCCUGAGGAGGGGCGUCUGGCCGCACCAGCCUGCCUGGAGGUACGCCGUGGCUCCGAGAGCCUUGUUGUGGGGAACAGAAACUGUGGAAGGUUUGUGG